UAGGGAAUCUUCCACAAUGGGCGAAAGCCUGAUGGAGCAACGCCGCGUGUGUGAUGAAGGGUUUCGGCUCGUAAAACACUGUUGUAAGAGAAGAAUGACAUUGAGAGUAACUGUUCAAUGUGUGACGGUAUCUUACCAGAAAGGAACGGCUAAAUACGUGCA
rnacentral:rRNA from 1 species